ACAUGCAGAGCAAUUUUGAUAUUCCAAACAAACAAACAAAAAGGCAUAUUCUGUACAUGGCGCUACUUGGCUCUUGUAGGAAAACAUUGAAAAAAUAAUAAUUGAGCUUUCAGUGGGUUUUGUGUUUCCGAGUUGUUUUCCGCAAAAGCCGAGGCACUUUUGAUCCUGCACGGCUGACGGCGGACGGGAGGUGUCUGCUGCUGACACGAGGGGCUGAGCCCACCCAGGCACAGAAAGUCAGAAGUCUAAGCAAGCCAUUCCUGAAUAUGAACGUGGACGCACAUGUAUUGGGGGUGGGGGGUACUAUUCCUUCCUUCUCAAAUGGGACCAAGAGCCUCCGAUUCACAAGCUGGUUUGUAGGGCCCAUACCCAAAUAAAAAUUCAGCUGGAGGCUGGUUCCGGACCUUGACUGGCAUCAGAAGGUGACAGCGAACUCAAAAAGUCAUUGUUUCCCUCUGUUUCUGGGAGAACCCUAAGGAAACACUCGCCUUCACCGGCAGCCCCCGAAAGUCCAGCACAUUCUUUCGUGUGUUUUGAGAGAACAAACGCUCCUCUGCUCUUUCCAUCCCCAACCUUACCUCUGGUGUAAAGCAAUAUUCUGAAGAACAUUCCAGAAGGUUUUCUGAAGGGGCACCAUUCUACAAGUACCGUUUAUAUAAGAUCAGCAUUUCCCCAUUCCCCACCCCCAACCAAACCAUAAUUUCUGAACAGCCUGAGGUGUCAAGGACUCACCAAGAGGCAUCCAAAAGGCAUUUAACCCCAACUUCCACCCACCACAAAGUAGAAAAAUGAUUGUCGGUGGGACUACAGCACAUCCAAUCACUCAGAUGGCUAGCAUGGGCCAUGUUCUGAUGGCAUUUCUGGCCACUGAGCAAUGCUAGGACAGCUACAAAUAAACGCCUCCCAACCCAACAAGCACACUUAUGGAGGACCAUCUGCUCUGGUGGGAGACAGUGGAAGAUCUGUCCAUCAGUUGGCGGCAGGCUCCAGUGGUCAUGGAUUGUAUGUGCAGACCCUUGCAUCAAUUCCCACAUUUUCUCUCAGUUGUGCUCAAUGCCUAUCCAGAGAACCAGCAGCAUGUCUCUCUUUCUACUAGCUUAAAAUGACAGAAAAGCACCCAGGACAGCUCUCAGAAUACAAACAUUUCCAGACGGUUUUAAUAAUAGUGAGACAUCUUCAAAAACAAACAACAAAAAGCAUCAACCUAAGCUGGCUUUGUUGCUUUUUUUUGUAACCCAUCAUUACAAUCCCCCAGGACAACCAUGAUUUCCUCAGACCAAAGUUCUGUUGUUGCACAGGAAACAUUAUCUGUUGCAAAACGAGGCUCAUAACCCAACGGCCACUUGCCCUUUUCACAGCAGCAGCAGAGACAGCUAAAUGAAAUCAGUGAAAUCCCAUUUACACAGGGCGGGUCCGGUACUCUAGGUACGUCUCCAGGGCAAGCGGAGAAAGGAGAUCCUGCAGGAGCCGUGGUGAAAGUAUGACAAAGGCUUGCCGAAUAUGACAAUAGCCUUGUUGGCCCUGCCCAGACUUACACACAGGUUCUCAAAGCCCCACAAGGUCAACCAGUAUUAGCUUAAAGUCAACUAAACCGCAACACUGGGGUCUAAGGUUUUGUUGCUAAAAAAAUGCAUCCAGUACAGUGGUGGAUUUGGGGACUGAGAUUUCUCAACAUACGCUCCUCCCACUUGAAGAAUAAAAGAAGACACUGCAUGGGGUGUUCGUGUGUGAGGUUCCCAUGAGUGUGGUUUGUUCCACCCCCUAAAAAAGCAUCUGAGUCUGAAAGGGGUGAGAAUAAACCAUGGAGAGCCCAGGGCACCUUGGUGCUCACUUCGGUG
rnacentral:lncRNA from 1 species